ACUGCCGGCAUCUACGCACCCUGAACGCGCCCGAUCUGGUCUCAUCUCGGAAGCUAAGCAGGGUCGGGCCUGGUUAGUACUUGGAUGGGAGAUCGCCUGGAAAUACCGGGUGCUGUAAGUU
ensembl:rRNA 5S_rRNA 5S ribosomal RNA